ACUUUAAUUGAAGAGUUUGAUCAUGGCUCAGAUUGAACGCUGGCGGCAGGCCUAACACAUGCAAGUCGAGCGGCAGCGACAUCAACAAUCCUUCGGGUGCGUUGAUGGGCGGCGAGCGGCGGACGGGUGAGUAAUGCCUGGGAAUAUGCCCUGAUGUGGGGGAUAACCAUUGGAAACGAUGGCUA
rnacentral:rRNA from 1 species